rnacentral:misc_RNA from 1 species
GUAGGAGCCGGCUUGCUGGCGAUGGCGGUGGGGCAAUCAGCAUUGAUGUUGGCUGACCCACCGCUAUCGCCAGCAAGCCGGCUCCUAC